GAUUGAGGGGCGGUGCGAUGCGUCUCUAUAUAUAGAUGUGCGAUGCGUUUGCCUCUUCCUCUUCCGCUUCCUUCCUGUGGCCACUGUGAUUGUGUGACGUGGUCGUUGCGGGCGUAUGAUCCUCUUCGCUCAGAGCGCGACCGGCUGCCGGGCCGUGGGGAUGUGUCGCCCCACUGGUAGUUUUUCCUGGAGAUGCUCAUCUGCCCUUUCGGUGUCGUGGGCUCCCUGUGGCCGUUAAUCCCUGGUGGUGGUGUGUUCUCCACGGUCCCCCCUUUUUUGGUUUUGUGUGUGUGUGAGUGUGUAGUUUCACGGGUGAUUCUGUCGAGGACCUCCCCUCCCCUUUGUCUUGUGGUUGUCCUGCUGCAUGGUAGCUCCGGCCAGCUUUAUUCGCCCCUUGGUUUGUUUUAUUGUGUGUUCAACUGGUGUGACUGUGUUUGAAUUGUAUUUUGUUUAUUCUAUGUGUUAAUAAAUUCUUUGUUGUGGAACCGUCUCGCCCUGUGGUAUUGAACCUGUGUGGCCUUGGUCUAAAUAACCAACACAGUUAAGCUCAGAUUUCCUGGGGCGCAAUUCCCCAGGUGGCGUUGUCGCAACUACGAUUUUUUUUUAUGCUCCUUAG